GACGAACGCUGGCGGCGUGCCUAAUACAUGCAAGUCGAGCGGAAUGAAGAAGAAGCUUGCUUCUUCUGAUUUUAGCGGCGGACGGGUGAGUAACACGUGGGCAACCUACCUUGUAGAUUGGGAUAACUCCGGGAAACCGGGGCUAAUACCGAAUAAUCCAUUUUGCUUCAUGGCGAAAUGUUAAAAGGCGGCUUCGGCUGUCACUGCAAGAUGGGCCCGCGGCGCAUUAGCUAGUUGGUAAGGUAACGGCUUACCAAGGCGACGAUGCGUAGCCGACCUGAGAGGGUGAUCGGCCACACUGGGACUGAGACACGGCCCAGACUCCUACGGGAGGCAG
rnacentral:rRNA from 1 species